UACGUAGGGUGCAAGCGUUAAUCGGAAUUACUGGGCGUAAAGGGCGCGUAGGCGGUCCGUCACGUCGGGAGUGAAAACUCAGGGCUCAACCCUGAGCGUGCUUCCGAUACGGGCGGACUAGAGGUAUGCAGGGGAGAACGGAAUUCCUGGUGUAGCGGUGGAAUGCGCAGAUAUCAGGAGGAACACCGGUGGCGAAGGCGGUCUCUGGGCAUUACCUGACGCUGAGGAGCGAAAGCAUGGGGAGCGAACAGG
rnacentral:rRNA from 1 species